AGAGUCCUUCUGUCGGUUGGUCCUGGAGCGGCGCAGCCGGAGUGGGGCCGUGAGGAGAAUAAAGGCAGCCCCGUUGAUGACUGAAAAUGACAAAGCAUCCACCUAACAGACGAGGAAUCAGCUUUGAAGUGGGAGCCCAGUUGGAAGCCCGGGACCGUUUAAAAAACUGGUAUCCAGCUCACAUAGAAGACAUUGACUACGAGGAAGGAAAAGUACUCAUCCAUUUCAAGCGUUGGAACCAUCGUUAUGAUGAGUGGUUCUGCUGGGACAGUCCUUAUUUACGCCCUUUAGAGAAAAUACAGCUGAGGAAAGAGGGCUUGCAUGAAGAGGAUGGAUCUUCUGAAUUUCAAAUAAAUGAGCAGGUCCUUGCUUGCUGGUCUGAUUGUCGUUUUUACCCGGCCAAAGUCACUGCUGUUAACAAGGAUGAAUAUUGUGGGUAAUGCUAGGCCUAAAGAAACAGAUCACAAAAGUCUUUCAUCAUCUCCUGAUAAACGAGAGAAGUUUAAAGAACAGAGAAAAGCAACAGUGAAUGUGAAGAAAGACAAAGAAGAUAAACCCUUAAAGACAGAAAAGCGACCCAAGCAGCCUGAUAAAGAAGGAAAGUUAAUCUGUUCUGAAAAGGGGAAAGUGUCAGAGAAAAGUCUUCCCAAGAACGAGAAGGAAGACAAGGAAAACAUUUCCGAAAAUGACAGAGAGUAUUCUGGAGAUGCCCAAGUGGAUAAGAAACCUGAAAAUGACAUUGUGAAGAGUCCACAAGAAAACUUGAGGGAACCCAAAAGAAAACGAGGCAGACCCCCUUCCAUAGCUCCUACUGCUGUGGAUUCAAACUCUCAAACUUUGCAACCAAUAACAUUGGAACUGAGAAGAAGGAAAAUAUCAAAAGGAUGUGAAGUCCCAUUAAAACGUCCUCGGCUUGACAAAAAUUCAUCCCAGGAAAAGUCAAAAAACUACUCGGAAAACACUGACAAAGACUUAUCGAGGAGACGUUCCUCCAGGCUGUCCACUAAUGGGACCCAUGAGAUCCUAGAUCCUGACUUGGUUGUAUCAGAUUUGGUUGAUACGGAUCCUUUGCAAGACACGUUGUCUAGUACCAAGGAAUCUGAAGAAGGUCAGUUGAAGUCUACUUUGGAAGCUGGCCAGGUCUCAUCUGCACUGACUUGCCACUCCUUUGGGGAUGGAUCCGGGGCUGCAGGCUUGGAGUUGAACUGCCCAUCAAUGGGAGAAAACACAAUGAAAACAGAACCGACUUCUCCCCUUGUGGAAUUACAAGAGAUUUCGACUGUGGAAGUAACAAAUACUUUUAAGAAAACAGAUGAUUUUGGGUCAUCUAAUGCACCAGCUGUUGACCUAGACCAUAAGUUUAGAUGCAAAGUUGUGGACUGUUUAAAAUUUUUCCGCAAAGCCAAACUGUUGCACUAUCACAUGAAGUAUUUCCAUGGAAUGGAGAAGUCACUGGAGCCAGAAGAGAGCCCGGGAAAGAGGCAUGUCCAAACCAGGGGCCCUUCAGCUUCAGACAAGCCCAGCCAGGAGACCCUGACCAGGAAGCGGGUCUCUGCCAGUUCCCCAACUACAAAAGACAAGGAAAAGAAUAAAGAGAAGAAAUUCAAGGAGUUUGUGAGAGUGAAGCCAAAGAAG
rnacentral:sRNA from 1 species